UGAGGUGAAAAAGAACAGAAAGCAAGACGG
rnacentral:piRNA from 1 species